ACGCUCGACAUAGGCAGCAGUAGGGAAUCUUCCACAAUGGACGCAAGUCUGAUGGAGCAACGCCGCGUGAGUGAAGAAGGUUUUCGGAUCGUAAAGCUCUGUUGUUGGUGAAGAAGGAUAGAGGUAGUAACUGGCCUUUAUUUGACGGUAAUCAACCAGAAAGUCACGGCUAACUACGUGCUAGCAGCCGCGGUAAUCUGAGCGGGCUGGCAAGGC
rnacentral:rRNA from 1 species